GUGUCAGCCGCCGCGGUAAUACGUAGGUGGCGAGCGUUGUCCGGAUUUACUGGGCGUAAAGGGCUUGUAGGCGGUCCGUUAAGUCCGAUGUGAAAUCUCCCGGCUCAACUGGGAGAGGUCAUUGGAUACUGGCGGACUAGAGGGGGGUAGAGGAAAGCAGAAUUCCUGGUGUAGCGGUGAAAUGCGUAGAUAUCAGGAGGAAUACCAGUGGCGAAGGCGGCUUUCUGGGCCUACCCUGACGCUGAGGAGCGAAAGCGUGGGGAGCAAACCGGAUUAGAAACCCCGGUAGUCC
rnacentral:rRNA from 1 species